AAAGCAGGGGAUCUUCGGACCUUGCGCUAAUAGAUGAGCCUAAGUCGGAUUAGCUAGUUGGUGGGGUAAAGGCCUACCAAGGCGACGAUCUGUAGCGGGUCUGAGAGGAUGAUCCGCCACACUGGGACUGAGACACGGCCCAGACUCCUACGGGAGGCAGCAGUGGGGAAUAUUGGACAAUGGGCGCAAGCCUGAUCCAGCCAUGCCGCGUGUGUGAAGAAGGCCUUUUGGUUGUAAAGCACUUUAAGCGAGGAGGAGGCUCCUUUAGUUAAUACCUAAAGUGAGUGGACGUUACUCGCAGAAUAAGCACCGGCUAACUCUGUGCCAGCAGCCGCGGUAAUACAGAGGGUGCGAGCGUUAAUCGGAUUUACUGGGCGUAAAGCGUGCGUAGGCGGCUUUUUAAGUCGGAUGUGAAAUCCCUGAGCUUAACUUAGGAAUUGCAUUCGAUACUGGAGAGCUAGAGUAUGGGAGAGGAUGGUAGAAUUCCAGGUGUAGCGGUGAAAUGCGUAGAGAUCUGGNAGGAAUACCGAUGGCGAAGGCAGCCAUCUGGCCUAAUACUGACGCUGAGGUACGAAAGCAUGGGGAGCAAACAGGAUUAGAUACCCUGGUAGUCCAUGCCGUAAACGACNUUUUCUACCCGUUGGGGCCUUUGAGGCUUUAGUGGCGCAGCUAACGCGAUAAGUAGACCGCCUGGGGAGUACGGUCGCAAGACUAAAACUCAAAUGAAUUGACGGGGGCCCGCACAAGCGGUGGAGCAUGUGGUUUAAUUCGAUGCAACGCGAAGAACCUUACCUGGCCUUGACAUACUAAGAACUUUCCAGAGAUGGAUUGGUGCCUUCGGGAACUUAGAUACAGGUGCUGCAUGGCUGUCGUCAGCUCGUGUCGUGAGAUGUUGGGUUAAGUCCCGCAACGAGCGCAACCCUUUUCCUUAUUUGCCAUCGGGUAAUGCCGGGAACUUUAAGGAUACUGCCAGUGACAAACUGGAGGAAGGCGGGGACGACGUCAAGUCAUCAUGGCCCUUACGGCCAGGGCUACACACGUGCUACAAUGGUCGGUACAAAGGGUUGCUACCUCGCGAGAGGAUGCUAAUCUCAAAAAGCCGAUCGUAGUCCGGAUCGCAGUCUGCAACUCGACUGCGUGAAGUCGGAAUCGCUAGUAAUCGCGGAUCAGAAUGCCGCGGUGAAUACGUUCCCGGGCCUUGUACACACCGCCCGUCACACCAUGGGA
rnacentral:rRNA from 1 species